GAGGUCUUAACUUAAUUAAAGKGKCUGAAUUGCAAUCAGGAAAUGUAKUUUGAUUUAUACAGGCCUU
rnacentral:tRNA from 1 species